ACCUCAACAUUUGGAAGUUAGAAGUAAUACAAAAAUUUGCUUCAGUAUAUAAUACAUAUGUUUUUCAGAUUCCUACAAAGCAUAAAAAUUAUAACUUUCAAAGGCCGGGUGCAUUGGCUCAUGCCUGUAACACUAGCACUUUGGGAGGCCCAGGCAGGCGGAUUGCCUGAGCUCAGGAGUUCCAGACCAGCCUGAGCAACAUGGUGAAACCCUGUCUCUACUAAAAUACAAAAGAAAUUAGCCAGGCGUGGCAGUGUGCGCCUAUAGUCCCAGCUACUCGGGAGGCUGAGGCAGGAGAAUUGCUUGAGCCCGGGAGGCAGAGGUUGCAGCGAGCCAAGAUCACGCCACUGCAUUCCAGCCUGGGCAACAGAGCAAGACUCCAUCUCUACCAAAAAAAAAAAAAAAAAAAAAAAAA
rnacentral:lncRNA from 10 species